rnacentral:rRNA from 1 species
AGAUUGAACGCUGGCGGCAUGCCUUACACAUGCAAGUCGAACGGCAGCACGGGAGCAAUCCUGGUGGCGAGUGGCGAACGGGUGAGUAAUGUAUCGGAACGUGCCCAGUCGUGGGGGAUAACGUAGAGAAAUUUACGCUAAUACCGCAUACGAUCCAAGGAUGAAAGCGGGGGACCGUAAGGCCUCGCGCGACUGGGAGCGGCUGAUAUCAGAUUAGCUUGUUGGUGAGGUAAAAGCUCACCAAGGCGACGAUCUGUAGCUGGUUUGAGAGAACGACCAGCCACACUGGGACUGAGACACGGCCCAGACUCCUACGGGAGGCAGCAGUGGGGAAUUUUUGGACAAGUGGGACGAAAGCCUGAUCCAGCAAUGCCGCGUGCAGGAAGAGGCCUUACGGUUGUAACUGUCUUUUGUACGGAAGACGAAAACGGUCUCGCCCUAAGUUACGGCCG